AGGACGGAACCCGUAAACAUGCAAGUCGAGCGGUAACAGAUCUAGCUUGCUAGACGCUGACGAGCGGCGGACGGGUGAGUAAUGCAUAGGAAUCUGCCCGGUAGUGGGGGAUAACCUGGGGAAACCCAGGCUAAUACCGCAUACGUCCUACGGGAGAAAGGGGGCUCCGGCUCCCGCUAUUGGAUGAGCCUAUGUCGGAUUAGCUGGUUGGUGAGGUAAUGGCUCACCAAGGCGACGAUCCGUAGCUGGUCUGAGAGGAUGAUCAGCCACAUCGGGACUGAGACACGGCCCGAACUCCUACGGGAGGCAGCAGUGGGGAAUAUUGGACAAUGGGGGCAACCCUGAUCCAGCCAUGCCGCGUGUGUGAAGAAGGCCCUCGGGUUGUAAAGCACUUUCAGCGAGGAAGAACGCCUGGUGGUUAAUACCCAUCAGGAAAGACAUCACUCGCAGAAGAAGCACCGGCUAACUCCGUGCCAGCAGCCGCGGUAAUACGGAGGGUGCAAGCGUUAAUCGGAAUUACUGGGCGUAAAGCGCGCGUAGGUGGCUUGAUAAGCCGGUUGUGAAAGCCCCGGGCUCAACCUGGGAACGGCAUCCGGAACUGUCAAGCU
rnacentral:rRNA from 1 species